rnacentral:rRNA from 1 species
GGAUUCGAUUAUGGCUCAGAUUGAACGCUGGCGGGAUGCUUUACACAUGCAAGUCGAACGGCAGCACGGACUUCGGUCUGGUGGCGAGUGGCGGGUGAGUAAUGUAUCGGAACGUGCCUAGUAGCCAGGGAUAACUACGCGAAAGCGUAGCCCAACCACCUGUCGCCCUUCGAAGGGGAAAGCAGGGGACCUUCGGGCCUCGCACUAUUAAACGGCCGAUAUCGGAUUAGCUAGUUGGUGGGGUAACGACUCACCAAGGCGACGAUCCGUAGCUGGUUUGAGAGGACGACCAGCCACACUGGGACUGAGACACGGCCCAGACUCUACGGGAGGCAGCAGUGAAAUUUUGGACAAUGGGGGAAACCCUGAUCCAGCCAUCCCGCGUGUGCGAUGAAGGCCUUCGGGUUGUAAAGCACUUUUGGCAGGAAAGAAACGGCACGGGAUAAUACCCCGUGCAACUGACGGUACCUGCAGAAUAAGCACCGGCUAACUACGUGCCAGCAGCCGCGGUAAUACGUAGGGUGCAAGCGUUAAUCGGAAUUACUGGGCGUAAAGCGUGCGCAGGCGGUUCGGAAGAAGAUGUGAAAUCCCAGAAACGCUUUGGAACUGCAUUUUUAAUAACUACCGAGCUAGAGUGUGUCAGAGGGAGGUGGAAUUCCGUGUAGCAGUGAAAUGCGUAGAUAUGCGGAGGAACACCGAUGGCGAGGCAGCCUCUGGGAUAACACUGACGCUCAUGCACGAAAGCGUGGGGAGCAAACAGGAUUAGAUACCCUGGUAGUCCACGCCCUAAACGAUGUCAACUAGCUGUUAGGGGCCUUCGGGCCUUGGUAGCGCAGCUAACGCGUGAAGUUGACCGCCUGGGAGCGGUCGCAAGAUUAAAACUCAAAGGAAUUGACGGGGACCCGCACAAGCGGUGGAUGAUGUGGAUUAAUUCGAUGCAACGCGAAAAACCUUACCUACCCUUGACAUGUCUGGAAUCCCGAAAGAGGUCCCGGGAGUGCUCGCAAGAGAACCGGAACACAGGUGCUGCAUGGCUGUCGUCGGCUCGUGUCGUGAGAUGUUGGGUUAAGUCCCGCAACGAGCGCAACCCUUGUCAUUAGUUGCUACGAAGAAGGGCACUCUAAUGAGACUGCCGGUGACAAACCGGAGGAAGGUGGGGAUGACGUCAAGUCCUCAUGGCCCUUAUGGGUAGGGCUUCACACGUCAUACAAUGGUCGGGACAGAGGGUCGCCAACCCGCGAGGGGAGCCAAUCCCAGAAACCCGAUCGUAAGUCCGGAUCGCAGUCUGCCAGCUCGACUGCCGCAUCAGUCGAAAUCGCUAGUAAUCGCGGAUCAGCAUGUCGCGGUGAAUACGUUCCCGGGUCUUGUACACACUGCGCCCGUCACACCAUGGGAGUGGGUUUUACCAGAAGUAGUUAGCCUAACCGUAAGGAGGGCGAUUACCACGGUAGGAUUCAUGACUGGGGUGAAGUCGUAACAAGGUAA